rnacentral:rRNA from 1 species
GAGCGAACGCUGGCGGCAGGCUUAACACAUGCAAGUCGAGCGCCGUAGCAAUACGGAGCGGCAGACGGGUGAGUAACACGUGGGAACGUACCUUUUGGUUCGGAACAACACAGGGAAACUUGUGCUAAUACCGGAUAAGCCCUUACGGGGAAAGAUUUAUCGCCGAAAGAUCGGCCCGCGUCUGAUUAGCUAGUUGGUGAGGUAACGGCUCACCAAGGCGACGAUCAGUAGCUGGU